ACAUGCCUACAACAUAACAUUAAUGCAACGGAUCCCAUUAGAACUCUGCAGUUAAGCGUGCUUGGGAUAGAGUAGUGCUGGUGAUGGGAGGACUCUUAGGACCUGUU
rnacentral:rRNA from 1 species